UGGAACUGAGACACGGUCCAGACUCCUACGGGAGGCAGCAGUGGGGAAUAUUGCACAAUGGGCGCAAGCCUGAUGCAGCCAUGCCGCGUGUAUGAAGAAGGCCUUCGGGUUGUAAAGUACUUUCAGCAUAAAUAUACUCAUCGGUCAAUCUGGCAUAGUAGGGAUUGAGUACCAGCACGGCAUCGACUUCGAGUCGGUCGGCAUGUUGACCAUACUCAAUCACUUCCUGCGUGCUGGUGCUGCU
rnacentral:rRNA from 1 species